AGGGGCUGAAGACACUUGGUGUUCUGGAUGCUGUCAGAUAGUUUCAGAGCCUGAAUGGUUCAUGAACCAUCGACACUCACUGCUGACAUAGUGAAUCACCUUUCCAACAUCCGGCUGUCUGCAGUGGGAAGCAACACGAGAAGGCAGAGGAACGUCUGGUCCCAUUCUGGAGAGACUACCUGCAGGAUGCUAAAGAACAAAUGGGACCAUUAAAGCUUGGUAAAAUCCUGGCUUUUGCAACGGGAGCCAUCAACUGAUUUCUUGCAUGACCACUCAGUCAGCCCUGGACGCCAUUUGCCUGUGGCAAACACUUGCAUCAGUUGCCUUAAGUUGCCUGAGGUUUUCAUGGAGAGGACGGACUUUAGACUUUCAGCCCUCUGGUUGUGGACACUGCGCCCGGUAACGACACUGCCUCUGUUCAAGCCCCAUCUGUCCUACAUACAGCGAGCAACCUCUGUGUUCUCCACGCCACGUUCACGGCGUACCCUCAGAGGAAGUCCAAAAAGUUCUUGAUUUCCUGUUGUUGGUGUUUGUAGUCUGCUUUUCUUUCUAUUAUUUUUUAUACUUAACACGAGGAUUCUACUACUGCAUAACUUGUGCUCAUACCUGAAUUAGAAUGUAUUUAUACAUCUGUCCCGUAUUUACUACUCCCGUAACAAUUUACUCCUUUGUCAAAGAGCCAAAAUUAGUUAAAUAUUACACUACAGCUGA